rnacentral:rRNA from 1 species
CCCACAUUGGUACUGAGACACGGACCAAACUCCUACGGGAGGCAGCAGUGAGGAAUAUUGGUCAAUGGGCGUAAGCCUGAACCAGCCAAGUCGCGUGAGGGAUGAAGGUUCUAUGGAUCGUAAACCUCUUUUAUAAGGGAAUAAAGUGCGGGACGUGUCCCGUUUUGUAUGUACCUUAUGAAUAAGGAUCGGCUAACUCCGUGCCAGCAGCCGCGGUAAUACGGAGGAUCCGAGCGUUAUCCGGAUUUAUUGGGUUUAAAGGGUGCGUAGGCGGCCUUUUAAGUCAGCGGUGAAAGUCUGUGGCUCAACCAUAGAAUUGCCGUUGAAACUGGGAGGCUUGAGUAUGUUUGAGGCAGGCGGAAUGCGUGGUGUAGCGGUGAAAUGCUUAGAUAUCACGCAGAACCCCGAUUGCGAAGGCAGCCUGCCAAGCCAUGACUGACGCUGAUGCACGAAAGCGUGGGGAUCAAACAGGAUUAGAUACCCUGGUAGUCCACGCAGUAAACGAUGAUCACUAGCUGUUUGCGAU